GUGUGUUUGAUUGUUGCAGGAGGACUGCUGCUGAGGCUCUGUGGGAACUAUGGAAGAGUCUUCAGGUUGAUUAGAAAUAUCUGCAGCGUCAGUGGAGGACAUCAUCUCCUCUGGUUGAAGGCUGAUGUCCAGAGUUACAGGAGGACUGCUGUUGACUCGGUCUGCAGGAAACACACAAGAGUCUUCAAGUAAGUUCACUUUCCAGAGUUUAUGUUAUUAUUCACAUUCCUGUCAUUGUCUCACAUCACUAACGGAUUAAACACUAACUGUUGUGGAUCUAUUGACUGUAUGUAAAUUACACAUAUUGGAUUGUUUUAACUCUUAUAUAAUACAUAUUCAUCUAAACUUUAAAAAUAACUCUUUCAUUUGGUUGUUUUCACAGAAAUUAUCUGGACCUUCAGGUUCCUGUACCCCAAAUCCCAUCGCUCCCAUCCAGAGCCCCAGACUCUCACACACACUGUGUGAGCGGCUGAUGACGUUGGGACCAGCGGACGUUUUCCACAAAGAAGACUGCGGGGUGGGUGGAGGAGAGAAAAGAGGGUUGCCAGUGUUAAUACUCAAUAAAAUUAUUUUAAAAUCCAUAACCGCCUGCUUUUACCUCUCUGGAAACCCGGGAGGGGACACGGCCCCCUCCUCUCCCUCUGCAGCGGGGUGAGGCUCCAGGAACCGGGCACCGAGCGAGCCUCGAACCAGACACUUCUGCAUUCUGGCCGCUCCCACGCACACUGCGCCACCAUGCUCCCUUCACACUAGAACAUCUUCUCCGGGCGCUUUUAUCUUUUUACUUUGGCCGCUGGAGCACAAAACACACUGAGCCUCAUAAGAGAAUCGAACACACAACCUCUGGUCUCCUGACCACUCUUCUAACCCUCAGCACUGUUUGAUCUGAGACACUUUAUCUAUAUUUCUAACAGCUUUUCACUUGUUUCUUUGAACAUUGGACUUCAUAAUUCACAGUUGAGUGAGGCUCCAACCCCACAUCCAAUCAGACAAUCAUCUGCUUAUCCACUGACACACACAGUGUACCACUGACACACAGUAGAGUCCACUGACACACAGUAGAGUCCACUGACACACAGUGUACUUUUCUUGACCUCUUUGAGGAGAGAACACACAAAAUGUAACGUUGGAUCAUCCUUUAGCAGCACCUUAUCUCACUGAGCUACACCUCAGGCUGCUGGUUUGCUGCUUCGUAGUUGUAUUUAUUGUUCACAUUACUGAGGAGAAACCUUUAAAAGUCUCACACACAGGAGCUUGGAUUUGAACCCUCAACCUCAGGUAUCAACACCACCAGCUGCUUAUCUUGCUGAGCUAUUCCUGCUACAACCUGGGGGGUUAUAUGAGCUCUAAUGGAGCUCUUUGUGUCUCAGGUGUAACAUUUAUGGACGUCACAGCUGUUAGUGCUUUUAAAAAAAAGAGACAGUAGUAGUAGAAAUAG
rnacentral:lncRNA from 15 species